rnacentral:lncRNA from 1 species
UCUGGGUUUGGAAGUUUUGCUUAAGGAGCAGGGAUUCAGGGGCUUUUCCGUGGCUGGGUGCCUACCUGCUUGGUUACAGUGCCCAGGGUGCUUGCAAAUUUGGCUUCUAUGAGUUCUUUAAGAAGUACUAUUCUGAUAUUGCUGGCCCAGAGUAUGCAAGCAAGUACAAGACCUUGAUCUACCUUGCUGGUUCAGCAUCUGCUGAGGUUAUUGCUGAUAUUGCUCUUUGCCCAUUUGAGGCUGUGAAGGUCCGUGUCCAAACUCAGCCAGGUUUUGCAAGGGGUUUGUCUGAUGGGCUCCCAAAAUUUGUCAGAUCCGAAGGAACCUUAGGGUAUGCUUACAAAUGCUGUUAACUCGUACAUUGUUUUUGGUAGAGGAUGUACUGUAAUCAUUCUAUGUUGAUCUAUGCUCGGAUUUAAGAUUAGGUUGUGAUCUUAUUAAGUGUCUUAUGAUUUCAGGCUGUACAAGGGAUUAGUGCCUCUAUGGGGACGACAGAUUCCAUGUAAGUUAGCCAUCCAUAUAGUUUGUAGUUUGCAUUAUACUUUUUAGUGCCCUCUUACUGAAUUGGAUGUGUUUGUGCAUUGUUCGGUAUCUCUUGGGUUACCAGAAUAGAUGGUGUUUUAGUUUGUACUCCAACUUUAAGAUUUAUCAGGUUACUAAAUUCUCAUGUCCUGAUUGUUGAGCCAUUGUGGCACUUCCCUGUUGCAUUACAGUUUUUGUUGGGAAUUAGUUGUCAUUUAUUGUAGAUUUUGGAUGCAUAUGCCUAUACAACUCUGAUUAUUCACACUAUAUUAUGAUAUUGAUAAUGUAUUAUUGGUUCUCAGCAUUUCCAUAUUGCAAAGUAUGGUUGGUUUGUGAAUUGUAUGCUUUUCAUAGCUUUUUUUUAAUCUUGUUUAUGCCGCCUUCAUCAUUAUAUGGAAUUAUUAUUUUUGUUCUGUGCUCUUACUCAGUUUAAAAAUUGAAACUUUUUGUCUGUUGAGAAAUGAUGCUAUUUGUCAUUGUGAAUAUUGGUGGUGAAAUUUGAUGUUUUUUGUUGUAUUAGUUUGAGGUCUGUUUCAUUUGCAUCUUAUAACUUGAUAUAUAAAAGGUCCUGAUACCUGAUAAUAUGACCUGUAUAACAUAAAAAUGUUCUUUCUUGCAGACACAAUGAUGAAGUUUGCUUCGUUUGAGACCAUUGUAGAGCUGAUCUAUAAGCACGCCAUCCCAACACCAAAGAAUGAGUGCACCAAAGGCCUGCAACUUGGUGUCAGUUUUGCUGGUGGAUAUAUUGCUGGUGUACUUUGUGCAAUUGUGUCUCAUCCUGCUGAUAAUCUUGUCUCUUUUCUGAACAAUGCAAAAGGAGCAACAGUUGGUGAUGUGAGUGUCAUACUUGGUGCAUGUUUAGUAUAAUUGUUUCAUAUUGCAUCUGUUUUUGACGAGCUUCUUUGAUUUUAUAUACUGUAUAAUGCAGGCGGUGAAGAAGCUUGGCCUGUGGGGUCUCUUUACCCGUGGUCUUCCCCUCCGUAUUGUUAUGAUUGGAACUCUUACUGGAGCCCAAUGGGGAAUAUAUGAUGCAUUCAAAGUGUCUGUCGGAUUGUAAGUUUACACAAUUGCUAGUUUUAUGAUAGGGUUCCAUACUUUCAUAUAUAUUGUUUUCCUUCAGUAUUGACGUUCUAAUGAAAUAAAUUUCCCCUUCCCAGGCCAACCACUGGUGGUCCUGCUCCUGCAGCUGCUCUAGCUUCUGAUGCUGAGCUUGCAAAGGCAUAGAAUGUCCAAUGAUGACACAUUCAACAGUUUGUUUACGAAACUUAGAAAGCCAGUGAAUAGGGACACCAUAAAUAAACAGGAGGAUUGCAGAAGUUGCUUGAGUGGAACUCGAGCUUGGUUGGAUAAUAUAUUCUUUUAAAGUUCAGACAUCGUGUUUCCAUUUUUCUUAAAUUUGAGUAUUUUGAAUUUUUAGGAGGAUGGUUUUGCUCGCAUCCUCCUCUUGCUGAAAACUUUGUAGGUAGGAAUGAUAUAAUUUUGCAUGCUAGGUUCUCUACAUGCCAUUGUCAAACGGGAAUACUCAUUUGUUUUCUUGUCUGUGCAUAAGCACAGACGCAUUUGCAAAUGUCUAGAUUGAGAUAAUUUUUACUCCCUUUAUUUGAUUAUUUCUUUUGGAAAAUGUUCCUUUUUUGUUGUAUUGCAAUCAUCAGCUCUCUUAAACGACUGUUAUCAUGAGUCAACUACUAGCUAUUUAAUCCCUUUUUUGUUGUGAUUAGUUCCGGGGAAAAUGCAAAAUUGAUGGGAAUCCAGUCACCUAUCGCGAUCGAUAUGUUGGACUUCUCGUUAUGGGUCUUAAUGACUCAGGCUUCACCAAAUCAAGAUAAAAAAUUUGUGUUCAAUUCAAGCUCCCAAAUUAUAGUCCAAAAUCCUUAAAUUAUAUCGAGCAUGGUCAGGUUAGCCUUGUCUGUUGAAUUGGUUUUGCCAUGACCUUUGUAUGCAAACCAGCACAUGAUGGUAGGGAAAAUGAAAGUGACUAUUACAUCGGAGUAGAGGAAGAAGAUAGGUUUGUGAGUAAAGAGUAAGAGUGAAAUGUGACAAGUCUCAUGAACUUUUAAAUAUUUUGUUAAGGAUCAAUAAUUGAUGGGUCAGAAAUACAUUUUAUUUUUGGGUAUAAUUUGUGUGAUUCUUCUCCCAUCGGGUUGGUUCAUUUUUUAGGUAAGGUGAUAUUUUGAGUUGUCACUCUAUGCUCAAGUCGGGGAUCGAACACCAAACCUUGAAUAAGGAAUCCAAAUAUCAAAUUACUUGUGUUAACAACUUUUGGUUAUGGACAUACAUUCUAAUUGACCUUAUUGGUGUUUAUGUGAUUUAAUGUCAUCUUAAUAUACUUAAAAUUAUCAAUUUAUUGUCAAAUUGAUUCUUAUUGAUGUCUUCUUAAAUGGACAAUCACAUGACAAAUAAUGUGACACAUUCAAUAUUUCUUAAUGAUGUUAAUGGAUGGUUAACUAUAUCAACAAACUUGACUAAUACAAUUUCAUUUCGCAAUAAAAAAAUCAUUGUUUAUUCUUUUGAAAAUUGAGUUAAAGGAGAAAAAAUUAUUUUGCAAAUGAACCUUCUAUUAGUCUUUCAUUAAUUUUCUUUUGUUAAGUAAAUUUUUUGUUUCCUAUUUAAUCUUUUUAAAUAUCAUGACCUUUUCAUUUAAUCAUUUUAAAUAUAAGUGGUCUUUCAUAGGGCUGACAAUAAACUGAAAGAGAAUAAAUUACAGCACAUAUUAAUUUAAAUGUUACAUAUUUUUAGAAAUUGAAAACUUAUUUAGGUUUCUUUUUCUGUUAUUAAAAAAUGAAACUAAGGUACAGGAAACAUUACACCAAUAGGCAAGAACUUAGGCAGAGAGAGUCUGUCCCAAAAAUUAGCACAAAAAAAAUGAUUAAUUAGUUUCACAAAACAUUUUAAUUAGUUUCUUUUUUUUAUUAGUUGAACAAUUCAUUUGAUUAUUUGACAAAUAAGUUUUUUAAUAACUUCUAACAUUUUUUAAAUAUUAUUUGAAAUAAUAUUUUUUAAAACACUAUCUUCUAUUUUUUUAUAUUUUCUUUUUUUUUUAUCUUUGAUAUAUUUAUUCAUUUUCUUGUCUUUUUAAUAAAUCAUAAUUUUAUUAGUUUUCUGUUAUUUUACACUUUUUAACUACUUCAAUAGCAAAUUUUACCGAAUACUUUUAAUUUGAUAAGUUAUUUUUUAGGUUUCUAACUAUCAGCUUUAAUUUGAUAAGUUAUUUUUUAAGUUUCUAACUAGCAGCUUUAGCAUCCAACCACCGUCUAGCUUUUCCUGAAAAACUGGCUGGUGGCGGGAAGGUGAAAAUUUAAUUUAUUAAAUUAUUAGUGUUUUAUAGAAUUAACUGUCGCAAUAACUGGAAAAUAUAAAAUGAUAUAAAAGUAAUAAAAUCAUGAUUUAUUUUUUAAAAAAUAAUAAUUUUUUUAUAAAAUAUAUUAAGAAUAAAAGUAAAAAAAAAAUAUAAAAAACUAAAGGAUAAAGUUAACGUUUUAAAAAUUAUUAUUUCAAGUAAAAUAUUAAAAAGUGUUAGAAGCUACUAAAAAAGUUUAUGUACUAAAUAAUUAAACAAAUUUUUUAACUAGUAAAAAAAAUUAAAAAUAAAUUAAAAUGUCUUCUUCAACAUAAUCCAACUUUGCAUAUAGCAGCCGACAAACGUUAAACACAUUCUUUUUCAAAUUCGAACGCAUUCUAUAGGAGAGUUCUAUAGUUUUCAAUUUACUAUUUUAACCAAAUAUGUCCAUUAUAACUCAUAAAUAUGUAAGGCUGACUUUCUGGAAACCACUCCAAUAAUCUCGUUUCUUUAAUAUAUACGUAUUUUGUAAUAAGUUUAAUAUUGACAGUGCAACUGUAUAUAGUUUGCAACAGAAUAAAAAAAAAUAGAGGAAUCUGGGGUCAUAAUUAGUUGUACCCUAUAACCAAUGGAAUUGAAACAAUAGUGUAAGAUCUUGAUUGGUUUACAUGUGAAAAAUAAUCUAUUUAACUGGAUAACAGGUUAAAAAUAUCUAUAGUUUGAAAAUAUAAGGUGUGUAUAAAAUAAAAUAAAAACAAAAACUAAUAAAACAAGUAAAAUUCUAAAAAUGAAAAUAAAUUAAAAACAAUUGGUUAAGACCUAAUUAAGUUUUUGCUCUAUCAAACUAUUCAUAAUUUCCUUAUUUAAUUCUUCAUUUUUAUUUUUUAAAAUUAAUAAAAUAUCAUUUUAUUUCUUAAAAUUGUGGAAAGGUUAUUAGUCAUCCACAAACAAAUUCUGUUAAAAAAAUAUGUGAUGUGACAUGUUAUCUAUUAUGUAUACAUACAUAGCAUAAAUAGAAAUCAAAUUCACACUAAAUUGAUAAUUUAGUGAAAUAAGAAGAUUAAACUAAAAAGCACAAAUCAAGUCAGUUAGGACAAGAAACCAUCAAUGAUUGGUCUUUUAUCAACAAAACAUUAAAAAAAAAAUAUGAGAGCCUUCAGGUCUUCACGUCUCACCCCUCACUCCCUUAAUCAUAAUCCUAUUUGCUUCCCCUUUGCUCCGUCGCAACAAUCACCCUCACUCUUAAGUCAUGAACUCACGACAACGACUACAUAUGACGAAAAGGCUAACAAUUGUUGUGAUAGUUUUAUUUCCCUCUUUUUUUUUUUUGUUCAUUUUUUACUUUCUACCAAAUUUCAAGGAUAACAAUAUUCGUGAAAAAAAAUUAUUAACAUAUUUAUUUUAGUAUAAUAAAUUAAAGAUAGAUAAUUAUUUUGUUUUAUUAUCACAUUUAGAAGAAAAAAAUUGAAAUGUGAUGCUAUGAUAGUCAUUGUAAUUGUUUUUAAUAUGAAAAACGCUUAUAUAUCCUAAAGUAAUCUCAGAUAUCAUUUUGUAAAAAUUAUAACGAGGGUACUUGUAUAUUUAAUGGUUUAUAUGACUUUGUAAAUGUUGCACAGGUCUUCUAUUAUUUUAAAUGAGAAAAAUGGUUAUAUAAUAGUUAUCUAAAAUUAUUUUAAUCAUAAUUUAUUAUUUAUGAAUUUUUAACCAUAAUAUUAAUAUGAAAUAACUAGUGACUUUAUCGAUGACUCGUUUUUCUCAAAUAAUUUGACUAGCUAUCUUUAGUGAUUUUUCUCUCUCAAUCACAUUUUUUUUAUUCACAAAAUUUAAACUCAGAAUCUUACUUAAAGGAAUUGAGUUCAACAUCACUUAAACCAACGACUUGUUGGUCCCACUAUUUAUAAUAAGUUUGAUAAUUUUUACAGAAUUACCUUAAAAGUCAUAUAAUUAAUGAUCUCUGAUGAAUAAAACUAAUUUAUCACCAUUUAACAAUACACAUAACUCAAUCAUUUAAAAUGCAAGUUGGAAACAUGUAUUGCAAUUCUGUAAGUAACUUAUGUCAAAAUCAUGUCUAAUGAAUUAAAGUUUCAAAGGCAUCCUAACAUAUUAAAUAUAUGUAGAUAAAAAAAGAUAAAAUACAAUUUAGAAACUUAUAUUAUAACUUUGUACGUAGCAUUUUCCAAAAUAAAAUAUCAAAUCUUAUGUCAAAAAAUAAAGAGUUAGUUUCUUUUUAUGGAAACACACUUAUGUCAUUUCAUUAAUAAUAAGCGCAGAAAUACAUGAGGGAACAAUGUUAAAAACUUGAGAGCUAGCAUGAAAAGUUGACCCAUUGUUAAGGAAUAAGCGACAAAAUUUGUUUGUCUCUUGACCAAACCCACCAUUGAGUUUGAAAAACUGGAAAAUAAAGUGUGAGUUUACUCUCCUAAAAUUCUUAGUCUCAUUUUCGCUCAACAAAAUUAUAAAUAAGAAAUUUGAUUAUGACUCAGUCUUCACCAAAUCUAGCUAGCCUUGGCUGAACCUGAUUAUGACUCAGGCUUCACCAAAUCAAGAUAACAAAUUUGUGUUCAAUUCAAGCUCAAAAAUUAUAAUCCAAAAUCCUUAAAUUAUAUCGAGCAUGGUCAGGUUAGCCUGGUCAGUUGAAUUGGUUUUGCCAUGACCUUUGUAUGCAAACCAGCACAUGAUGGUAGGAAAAAUGAAAGUGACUAUUACAUCGGAGUAGAGGAAGAAGAUAGGUUUGUGAGUAAAGAGUGAGGGUGAAAGGUGACAAUUCUCGUGAACUUUUAAAUAUUUUGUUAAGGAUCAAUAAUUGAUGGGUCAGACAUACAUUUUAUUUUUGGGUAUAAUUUGUGUGAUUCCUCUCCCAUCGGGUCGGUUCAUUUUUUAGGUAAGGUGAUAUUUUGAGUUGUCACUCCAUGCUCAAGUCGGAGAUCGAACACCAAACCUUGAAUAAGGAAUCCAAAUGUCAAAUUACUUGUGCUAACAACUUUUGGUUAUGGACAUACAUUCUAAUUGAUCUUAUUGGUGUUUAUGUGAUUUAAUGUCAUCUUAAUAUACUUGAAAUUAUCAAUUUAUUGUCAAAUUGAUUCUUAUUGAUGUCUUCUUAAAUGGACAAUCACAUGAUAAAUAAUGUGACACAUUCAACAUUUCUUAAUGAUGUUAAUGGAUGGUUAACUAUAUCAACAAACUUGACUAAUAAAAUUUCAUAGGGCUGACAAUAAACUGAAAGAGAAUAAAUUACAGCACAUAUUAAUUUAAAUGUUACAUAUUUUUAGAAAUUGAAAACUUAUUUAGGUUUCUUUUUCUGUUAUUAAAAAAUGAAACUAAGGUGCAAAAACAUUACACCAAUAGGCAAGAACUUAGGCAGAGAGAGUCUGUCCCAAAAAUUAGCACAAAAAAAUGAUUAAUUAGUUUCACAAAACAUUUUAAUUAGUUUCUUUUUUUUAUAAUUAGUUUCUUUUUUUUAUUAGUUGAACAAUUCAUUUGAUUAUUUGACAAAUAAGUUUUUUAAUAACUUCUAACAUUUUUUAAAUAUUAUUUGAAAUAAUAUUUUUUAAAACGUUAUCUUCUAUCUUUUUAUAUUUUCUUCUUUUUUUAUCUUUGAUAUAUUUAUUCAUUUUCUUAUUUUUUUUAAUAAAUCAUAAUUUUAUUAUGUUUAUGUCAUUUUACACUUUUCAACUACUUCAAUAGUAAGUUUUACCUAAUACUUUGUUAUUUUUUAAUUUUCUAACUAUCAGCUUUAACAUCCAGCUACCUCUUUCUUUCCUGAAAAGCUGGCGGGUGGCUGGAAGCUGGAAAUCUAAUUUAUUAAAUUAUUAGUGUUUUGUAGAAUUAACUAUUGUAAUAAUUGAAAAAUAUAAAAUGAUAUAAAAAUAAUAAAAUCAUGAUUUAUUUUUUUAAAAAAAAUAAUAAAUUUUUAUAAAAUAUAUUAAGAAUAAAAGUAGAAAAAAUAUAAAAAAAACUAAAGGAUAAAGUUAUCAUUUUAAAAAAUAUUAUUUCAAGUAGAAUAUUAAAAAGUGUUAGAAGCUACUAAAAAAGUUUGUAUACUAAAUGAUUAAACAAAUUUUUUAACUAGUAAAAAAAAUUAAAAAUAAAUUGAAAUGUCUUCUUGAACAUAAUCCAACUUUAUAAAAUUAUUUGAAAAAUAUUACAAUGAUGCCGAUUAUAUAUUAUGUUAACUCUUUAUAAUUGUUUAAAAAAAUUUACUUCAUAUUUUUCAAUAAAAGAGGUUGCUUGAAACAUUUUUUUAUGAACAGCAUCUAUCUAUAUGUAAAGGAAAUUUGAAAUAUUCAUGGUGGUUAAUUGAAAUUUUAAAUUAACUUUCAUCCUUCGACCUCUCUCUCGAUCUUUAUUUAUACAUUUUUAUAAUUCUGUAUGGUUAAUUUAUAGUUAAAAAUCACGAGACAUGUGUUCUAAUAAAAGUUCAAAGGAUAAAAACAAUAAUUCUGAUCCUUUGAUAAAAAUAACUUUUGGCUCAAAAGGAGAACCAAACAUACACAAAUUAAACAAGUAGUUGUUGAGUCGCGACCAGCGAGCUGAUUUCCAUUCCCCCUAACUAUCUAGUGUCAAGAUGGUAAAUCAGAAAAGUUAGCGCCAAUAUAAAGUACCACGCAACGUGCAGCCAAUGGCGCACAAAAGAGAGAGACCCUUUCCUUCUCUCUCGCCGCUGCAUUUUCUCCGCAACACAAUUGGCACCAUAUAGAAAUUGAGUUCUGUUAUAUCUCCCAAAGGAUUACAAGAGUAUAUAUAUAUAUAUAUAGCAAAAGUAAAAACCGUAUGAAAAACUGAAUCCUAAAAGUAUGGCACGUGUGCAACUGCAUGUACCACGUCUACAACUAUUCAAAAGAUAAAACUGCAUCUGGUUGUUACACCACCAAUAUAAAGUACCAUGCAACGUGCAGCCAAUUGCCUCCUUUUUCUUUCUCCGUGCCCUAAUGGCUCUCCCCGACUCUUCUUCCCGCCGCAACUCCCUGAUCCCCUCUUUCAUCUACUCCUCUUCCUCCAAAACGCUCCCUCUACACCACAUGCUCAACUCCGCCUCCGCCGCCGCCCCCUCCCCGCCGCCGGAAAACCUCCACGCCGGAUCGCGCGGCCUCGUGAUUCCCUCUCCCAGCGAGUCACGCAAGAUCAAGAUUCCCAAGAUGUACUCCCUCGAGUUCUACGCCGCCUGCGCCAAAGGUGGAAUCCUCAGCUGUGGCCUCACUCACUUGGCCUUCACUCCUCUUGAAAUAGUCAGGUGUAAUAUGCAGGUUCUCUCUCUCUCUCUCUCUCUCUCUCUCUCUCUAUAUAUAUAUAUAUAUAUAUAUAUAUAUAUAUAUAUCGAUCUGUCUUAUUGUGCUUAGAUUUAGGGGCUUAAGGAGCAGGGAUUCAGGGCCUUUUUCCGUGGCUGGGUGCCUACCUUGCUUGGUUACAGUGCCCAGGGUGCUUGCAAAUUUGGCUUCUAUGAGUUCUUUAAGAAGUACUAUUCUGAUAUUGCUGGCCCAGAGUAUGCAAGCAAGUACAAGACCUUGAUCUACCUUGCUGGUUCAGCAUCUGCUGAGGUUAUUGCUG